UACGUAGGGUGCAAGCGUUGUCCGGAAUUAUUGGGCGUAAAGAGCUCGUAGGCGGUUUGUUGCGUCGGCUGUGAAAUCCCGAGGCUCAACCUCGGGUCUGCAGUCGAUACGAGCAAACUAGAGUGUUGCAGGGGAGACUGGAAUUCCUGGUGUAGCGGUGAAAUUCGUAGAUAUCGGGAGGAACACCGGUGGCGAAGGCGGCGACCUGGGUAGAUACUGACGCUGAGGUGCGAAAGCGUGGGGAGCAAACAGG
rnacentral:rRNA from 1 species